rnacentral:rRNA from 1 species
AGAGUUUGAUCCUGGCUCAGGAACAACGCUGGCGGCGUGCCUAACGCAUGCAAGUCGCGCGGGUCCGCCUUUCGGGGCGGGUCAGCGGCGGACGGGUGAGGAACGCGUGGACAACCUGCCCCCCCGGUGGGGAACAACCCCGAGAAAUCGGGGCUGAUACCGCAUCCGCUCGGCGCCCGGUGGGGGCGGCGAGGAAAGGCGCGAGGCGCCGGGGGAGGGGUCCGCGUCCGAUUAGCUGGUUGGCGGGGUGACGGCCCACCAAGGCGACGAUCGGUAGCGGGUCUGAGAGGACGGCCCGCCACAGGGGGACUGAGACACGGCCCCCACUCCUACGGGAGGCAGCAGCGAGGGAUUUUCCGCAAUGGGCGCAAGCCUGACGGAGCAACGCCGCGUGCGGGACGACGCCUCUCGGGGUGUAAACCGCUUUUCGGUGGGACGAGGAUGACGGUACCGCCGGAAUAAGCCUCGGCUAACUACGUGCCAGCAGCCGCGGUAAUACGUAGGAGGCGAGCGUUGUCCGGAAUUAUUGGGCGUAAAGGGCGCGCAGGCGGCGCCGUUGGCCCCGUGUGAAAGCCCCCGGCUCAACCGGGGAGGGUCACGGGGGACCGCGGCGCUGGAGGGUGGCAGAGGCCGGCGGAAUUCCGGGUGUAGCGGUGAAAUGCGUAGAGCCCCGGAGGAACACCAGUGGCGAAGGCGGCCGGCUGGGCCACACCUGACGCUGAGGCGCGAAGGCCAGGGGAGCGAACGGGAUUAGAUACCCCCGUAGUCC